GUCUUAUGUGUUCAGACAGGACUGGCC
rnacentral:piRNA from 1 species